AGAGUUUGAUCCUGGCUCAGGACGAACGCUGGCGGCGUGCCUAAUACAUGCAAGUUGAACGAUGAUUUCCUGGUACUUGUAUCAGAAUGAGGAGUAGCGAACGGGUGAGUAACGCGUGGGUAACCUACCUCUUAGCGGGGGACAACUAUUGGACAACGAUAGCUAAUACCGCAUAACAAUAUUAAACACAUGUUUAAUAUUUGAAAGUACCAAUUGGUACACUAGGAGAUGGACCCGCGUUGUAUUAGCUAGUUGGUAGUGUAAUGGACUACCAAGGCGAUGAUACAUAGCCGACCUGAGAGGGUGAUCGGCCACAUUGGGACUGAGACACGGCCCAAACUCCUACGGGAGGCAGCAGUAGGGAAUCUUCGGCAAUGGACGAAAGUCUGACCGAGCAACGCCGCGUGAGUGAAGAAGGUUUUCGGAUCGUAAAACUCUGUUGUUAGAGAAGAACGUUGUGUAGAGUGGAAAAUUACACAAGUGACGGUAUCUAACCAGCAAAGGGACGGCUAACUACGUGCCAGCAGCCGCGGUCAAUACGUAGGUCCCGAGCGUUGUCCGGAUUUAUUGGGCGUAAAGCGAGCGCAGGUGGUUUAAUAAGUCUGAUGUAAAAGGCAGUGGCUCAACCAUUGUGUGCAUUGGAAACUGUUAGACUUGAGUGCAGUAGAGGAGAGUGGAAUUCCAUGUGUAGCGGUGAAAUGCGUAGAUAUAUGGAGGAACACCGGUGGCGAAAGCGGCUCUCUGGACUGUAACUGACACUGAGGCUCGAAAGCGUGGGUAGCAAACAGGAUUAGAUACCCUGGUAGUCCACGCCGUAAACGAUGAGUGCUAGUUGUUUGGGGCUAUCCAGCCCUAAGUGACGCAGCA
rnacentral:rRNA from 1 species